rfam:Schistosoma mansoni strain Puerto Rico chromosome 1, complete genome
AUCCAGCCGACGAGUCUCAAAUAGGACGAAACGCGCGUCAAAUUGGAU